GGUGCCAGCAGCCGCGGUAAUUCCAGCUCCAAUAGCGUAUAUUAAACUUGUUGCAGUUAAAAAGCUCGUAGUUGUAUUUUUGCGUUGACGGUUUGACCAUUUGGUUGGUUAUUUCGUUUUCGCUUUUGGGAAUUUCCCUUUUUACUUUGAGAAAAUUAGAGUGUUUCAAGCAGACUUUUGUCUUGAAUACUUCAGCAUGGAAUAAUAGAGUAGGACUUUGGUUCUAUUUUGUUGGUUAUUGAACCUUAGUAAUGGUUAAUAGGAACGGUUGGGGGCAUUCGUAUUUAACUGUCAGAGGUGAAAUUCUUAGAUUUGUUAAAGACGAACUACUGCGAAAGCAUUUGCCAAGGACGUUUCCAUUAAUCAAGAACGAAAGUUAGGGGAUCGAAGACGAUCAGAUACCGUCGUAGUCCUAACCAUAAACU
rnacentral:rRNA from 1 species